rnacentral:rRNA from 1 species
UACGGGGGGGGCAAGCGUUGUUCGGAAUUACUGGGCGUAAAGGGCUCGUAGGCGGCCAACUAAGUCAGACGUGAAAUCCCUCGGCUUAACCGGGGAACUGCGUCUGAUACUGGAUGGCUUGAGUUUGGGAGAGGGAUGCGGAAUUCCAGGUGUAGCGGUGAAAUGCGUAGAUAUCUGGAGGAACACCGGUGGCGAAGGCGGGUCUCUGGGACGGUACUGGACGCUGAGACGCGAAAGCGUGGGGAGCGAACAGG